rnacentral:rRNA from 1 species
UUGCAGGCUGCAACUCGCCUGCAUGAAGCUGGAAUUGCUAGUAAUCGCGGAUCAGCAAGCCGCGGUGAAUACGUUCCCGGGCCUUGUACACACCGCCCGUCACACCAUGAGAGUCGGGAACACCCGAAGUCCGUAGUCUAACCGCAAGGGGGGCGCGGCCGAAGGUGGGUCCGGUAAUUGGGGUGAAGUCGUAACAAGGUACC